AGAGUUUGAUCAUGGCUCAGGACGAACGCUGGCGGCGUGCUUAACACAUGCAAGUCGAGCGAUGAAGUUUCUUCGGAAAUGGAUUAGCGGCGAACGGGUGAGGAACACGUGAAGAAUCUGCCCUCCACUUUGGGAUAACACCGGGAAACCGGUGCUAAUACCGAAUAUUGAAACAUAAGUGGCAUCACUGAGUUUUGAAAGAAUUUCGGUGGAGGAUGACUUCGCGGCCUAUCAGCUAGUUGGUGAGGUAAUGGCUCACCAAGGCAACGACGGGUAGCCGGCCUGAGAGGGCGACCGGCCACACUGGGACUGAGACACGGCCCAGACUCCUACGGGAGGCAGCAGUGGGGAAUAUUGGGCAAUGGAGGAAACUCUGACCCAGCGACGCCGCGUGCGGGAUGAAGGCCUUCGGGUUGUAAACCGCUUUCAGUAGGGAAGAAGCGAAAGUGACGGUACCUACAAAAGAAGCACCGGCUAACUAUGUGCCAGCAGCCGCGGUAAUACAUAGGGUGCAAGCGUUGUCCGGAAUUAUUGGGCGUAAAGAGCUCGUAGGUCGUUUGUUACGUCGGAUGUGAAAACCUGAGGCUCAACCUCAGGCCUGCAUUCGAUACGGGCAAACUAGAGUUUGGUAGGGGAGACUGGAAUUCCUGGUGUAGCGGUGGAAUGCGCAGAUAUCAGGAGGAACACCAAUGGCGAAGGCAGGUCUCUGGGCCAUUACUGACACUGAGGAGCGAAAGCGUGGGGAGCGAACAGGAUUAGAUACCCUGGUAGUCCACGCCGUAAACGGUGGGCACUAGUUGUGGGAACCUUCCACGGUUUCUGCGACGCAGCUAACGCAUUAAGUGCCCCGCCUGGGGAGUACGAUCGCAAGAUUAAAACUCAAAGGAAUUGACGGGGCCCCGCACAAGCAGCGGAGCAUGCGGCUUAAUUCGACGCAACGCGAAGAACCUUACCAAGGCUUGACAUAUACAGGAAUAUGGCAGAAAUGUCAUAGCCGCAAGGUCUGUAUACAGGUGGUGCAUGGUUGUCGUCAGCUCGUGUCGUGAGAUGUUGGGUUAAGUCCCGCAACGAGCGCAACCCUUGUCAUUAGUUGCUACGAAAGGGCACUCUAAUGAGACUGCCGGUGACAAACCGGAGGAAGGUGGGGAUGACGUCAAGUCCUCAUGCCCCUUAUGUCUAGGGCUGCAAACACGCUACAAUGGCCGAUACAAAGGGUUGCCUGCUCGCGAGAGUUAGCUAAUCCCGUAAAGUCGGUCUCAGUUCGAAUUGAAGUCUGCAACUCGACUUCAUGAAGCUGGAGUUGCUAGUAAUCCCGGAUCAGCACGCCGGGGUGAAUACGUUCCCGGGCCUUGUACACACCGCCCGUCACACCACGAAAGUCGGCAACACCCAAAGCCGGUGGCCUAACCGCAAGGAAGGAGCCGUCUAAGGUGGGGUCGGUGAUUGGGGUGAAGUCGUAACAAGGUA
rnacentral:rRNA from 1 species